AUACGGAGGGAGCUAGCGUUGUUCGGAUUUACUGGGCGUAAAGCGCGCGUAGGCGGAUCGGCAAGUUGGGGGUGAAAUCCCGGGGCUUAACCCCGGAACUGCCCUCAAAACUGCUGAUCUAGAGACCGGGAGAGGUAAGCGGAAUUCCUAGUGUAGAGGUGAAAUUCGUAGAUAUUAGGAAGAACACCAGUGGCGAAGGCGGCCAACUGGACCGGAACUGACGCUAAGGUGCGAAAGCGUGGGGAGCAAACAGGAUUAGAAACCCCAGUAGUCC
rnacentral:rRNA from 1 species